rnacentral:rRNA from 1 species
UACGAAGGGUGCAAGCGUUACUCGGAAUUACUGGGCGUAAAGCGUGCGCAGGCGGUUUUGCAAGACAGAUGUGAAAUCCCCGGGCUUAACCUGGGAACUGCAUUUGUGACUGCAAGGCUAGAGUGUGUCAGAGGGAGGUGGAAUUCCGCGUGUAGCAGUGAAAUGCGUAGAGAUGCGGAGGAACACCGAUGGCGAAGGCAGCCUCCUGGGAUAACACUGACGCUCAUGCACGAAAGCGUGGGGAGCAAACGGG